UAACUCAGAAUGCAACUCAACAACCAUCAUUAGUGAUUGUAUAUUUUGGUGGUAAUGAUGCAACUAAUCCACGACCAGGUGGAAAUGGUCCUCAUGUACCUCUCGAAGAAUACAAAGAAAACAUGAAAAAGAUUGUUAUCCAUCUUCAGGUAAACUUUCACAUUAGACUCUAACACUUUUUUAUAUUCCAUUAUCAUGUGAAUUAAAUCACUCAUCUAUGCUUACCAACUUUUCUAAACUUUUUGUAAAUUAUAUUUAUCACACUGCAAAAUUUGACACAAAUUCAAAUGAUUUUCAGAGUCUUUCAGAGAAGACUCGGGUUAUAUUUCUCAGUACUCCUCCCAUCAAUGAGGAUCAAAUCUUUGGAGACAGGUUUAGAUUGAAAUUCUUUUGCUAUUUGAUCAAUAUAAUUUCAUAGAAAGAAAAGGUUUAGAGCAUAGUUUAAAUUGUGUUGCAUAAUUGUAAUCAUAGGUGUAAUGUUAUUGAUAUGAGAGUCUCACCAUAGUUUUGUACAAUUAUUAUAAAUACUAUAACUUAAAAUAUAAUGAGAAAAAAAUAUAUGCAGUGACAGUCUAUGAAUUUUAUACGCUAUUAUUAUAUUAUACAUUAUUAUAUUUAAUUAUCAUUGACUCUUCAAAAAAUAAUUCAAACGAAUAUUAGAUGAUAUAGUAAAUAUAUAUAAAUCUUUAUAUUAACAAUAUAUAUAUUACACUCAAACAUAAUUUAAUCAAAAUUGCAAUUUGAAAAUACAUAUAAUAGCAUAACACUAUAGAUAGAUAUCUACAUUAAUGUGUCAUAAUGUACUAUGACACGAACUCUUAGUUUGGAAUACAUAUAAAAAAAUGCACUCAAAUGCAUGUGACAUAUCGUUCUUUAGACUUCAGCUUAAGAGUAAUAGUGAGGCUGAUAAGUAAUAAAAUUGAGUGACAUCAUCUUAAAACCUAGAAACUAGUAUAUGAUAAGUUCAAAGGAUACUAGAAACAACCCUAAACAUGUUAAUUUAUUAAUUAUUUAGAUUUACAUUUUAAUCUAUAAGUUGUUAAAUUUGAACCAGAUAUCCUCCUCAUCAGCGACCAAUGACAAAUGAAUCCCAUCGAAUAUAUUCAGAAGCAGGUUUGGAGGUGAGUCGGGAGUUGAAUAUAAAGGCUAUUGACUUAUGGUCAGCAAUUCAAGAAAGGGAGGAUUGGAAAGAUGUUUCUUUCAGGUAAGUAUGAUAUCAUACUGGAAAAUAACCCAAUUUGAAUUUGACCCUUAAAACAAAAUAUAAAAUAAUAUAAUAGUAGUAAAAACUGUUCACAUUGGGACAAUUCAAAGGUAUAUUGAAAGACUUUAUUUUUAAGAUUUAUCAAGUAAUUAACAAUUCCUUAAUGUGAUUAAGUGUUUUGCUUAUUUCUUAUAGUGAUGGAAUUCAUUUUACUAACGAGGGAAGCAAAGUAGUCUCAAGGGAGAUAUUGAAGGUUCUUAGAGAAGCAGAUUGGAAACCAAGUUUGCAUUGGAGAGAUAUGCCCAUUGAGUUUGAAGAAUAUUAUACUCUUCCAACUGGUCCUGGUGGAGAGCCUACUGAUGAACAAACUCUCGUUUCCCUCCAGGUGUAGAAUGGGAUUGAGACUAAACUUUUGUGCAUUUUUAAAACUUGAUGCAUGCCAAUUUCAUUAAACAUUUAGUAUUGUGCCUAAAUAAAUAUGGUAUGCUUGUUUCAAGUAUUUUCAGUAAUUAAUUUCUCCCUUGUUUUUCACUUUGUGAGUGGUGUCAAUGUGUGACUAUAUUUGUGCUUUCAUUUAGCUUUGUUGAGUUUAUUCAAAUGUAAAAGAGUUUAUUAAGUGGAAAAUGACAAUAAAAUUAAUGUCUUAAGGUUUUAGUUUAAGAUAUGAUGUGUUACUUGUGACUCUCAACUAUUCCCAUAAUCCGGUAACAAUAAAAUUUCCUAAUCACGGUCUCGUCAAACAAGUAAUAUCCAAUCUGAGUAUUGGUUUGUAUUUAGGUUAUCACUCCUUAUACCUAUUUAUUAAAUUCUUUGCUUAUCAAUUUUUUUUUAUAGUUUCUUGCACAACUUAAAUUUUUUAAAGGAAGGAUAGAAGUAGAGAUAAGUGGUAAAUUUAGCUUUACAAAUUAAACUAAUUUCAUGGUUUUCUUCAAGGAUGUUAUCGUUUUUUAAUGGGCAAAAGACAAAAUUUUAUUAAACUUAAAUAAUGGUUUCAAUGUGUUGAAUAGAGAUGGCAAUGGGUGCGAGUAAUGUUUUCACGUUCCUAAAUUCACAAUAUUUGUGAAUAGUGUGUAUUUGCGAGUACUCAACCAGUUUUUAAUUUUAAUUAUAUAUUUAUAUACUUUAUAAUAAUCAAUAUAUAAAAUAAUUAUUACAAGAAUAAUAUGAUAUUUAUAUGAUAAUUUUAUAAUCAUAGUCAAAUAGGUGUAAUUUAUUAUAAAAUGAUAAUAAAAUAUAUGAUAUAUAAUUUUAAAAUAAUAAUAAAAAACUAUAAUAUAUAUAAAAAUUUAAUUUAUUAAUUUGCGGGUAUCGACGAGGCGGGUAUUAUAAAACUCGAUCCCACUCAUGAGUUAUUAUUAUAGAUAUUCAUUGCAGGUACUUCCACGGGUACCCACUGGUCGAUUUUUUUGCCAUCCCUAAUAUUGAAAAGAGAGAAAACAAGAUAAAGGAGAAUCAAAAUAUAUAGGGAAGACAACCAUAAAGGUUAGAAAUCCAAGUAAAAUUAAUUCAAUUAAAUAGAAUAAGAUAAAGCAAUUUAUCUUUACUACGUGCAAAAGAGCAAAAAAAUUGGGGCAGCCAGAGAUACCCCAACUAUGGAUAAACCCUAAUUUAAGAAGUCACUAUAAGAGACUUAUGUUAUAUGGUUCCAUGAAUUAUAACCUUUACAAUAUCAUUUGGUUAUUUUUAGGUCACCUAAUUUUACUAAACAUGUUCAACAUAAGACAUAUAUAUUAUAGAAACUCCAGGGACAAAAUUCACCCUAUCUUUUAGAGGAAAAAAAGUAAGCAAGUUUUAAUUUUUGUUUUAUUUCAAAUUCUAAAACACUAAUAUACAAGCAAAACACAAUGUUGGUCUUUAAAGGUGACACAACAAUGAUUGAAGGAAUAUAUACUUUAUUCUGACUAAUUGAAUCUGAAAUCUUACUACAUAUAUGAGAACAUUAUUUCCAAUAAAUUAACCAAUCUAACGUUGAGAACCUUUCCUUAAAAUGGGUCAUAAAAACCAUGGUACUAACAUGCUGAAUAAAAAUUUAAUAACAGUUCUUGUACAAAGGGAAAACUUACAAAAAAAAAGAAUAUUGUAUGAAUUAUGUUCAAAGUUUGAUCAUUAAAUAAUGAGACUAUAAAACAAAAAGAACAAUAUUCGUCUUACACCAAUAGGAUCCUUUGUGAGUUUAAAUUAAGUGAUGGUUGAAUUAAUAUUUUUUUGGAAAAAAGUAAUAUUAUUAAAAUUGAGUUAGAGUUACUAUAUUUUCAAAAGAAAUUUAAGAGCAAGAAAAUCAACAUAAUUGAGUAAGACAAUCACAAGAGGGUUUGAAACCCAACUAGAGUAAGCUAUUAAACACAUUUAUAUUAAUCCACAGCCAAUAAACUACCUUCAUUGAAUCUGAGUUGAUGUGUUGAUUGAUUUGAAGAUGACAUCGUUCCGCGCUAGACAAAUAAAUCACGUUAUUGCAAGCCAAAUGAUACUUCAGAAUUUUCCGACUUUACUUGUAAAAUGACAAGCCCAAAUGCAUGAGAAAUUGAGUUAUUGGGUCAGGAGAUAAAGCGAUGUUAAAAUCCAGCCAACUAUAAAUCGAUUGUCAGACUAAGUAUGUGAACAUGAAAAUAAAGAAAAGAUGGCAAUAAGUCUCAAAAUGUUCAUUACAAAUACUGCAUAGGUAACCUUCCCUAGAGGAUGGGUAAUGCCCCUUCUAAGUAAAGCUUCCAAAGUGGGCAAUCUAUUUUGGAAAAGACGCCAAGCAAAAGUAGAAACCUUUAAAGGAGGUUUGAAUUCCCAUAAGAGAUUAAGAUGGUUGUGAGUGUGCUCAUCAUGUUGACGAAGCAUGCAAGCUGAUUUGGCAGAAUAAAUGUUAGAUUUAUCACGACUUCACGCCUAUCGAUCAUGAGUAUUGUAAUGUAGAAAACAUUAUUGAAUGUCUUGCAAAAUAUUAGUAAUUGAUUCAUGUUCUCAUGAAAUUUUUUGUCUUUCCCCUUAGUCCAUAUUCCUAAGUCAUUAAUGAGAGUGUCCUUGGACAAAGUGAGAUUAUAAAGCCUUCUAAACUUAGACUUAAGAUUAUUAGUACCUAACCAAUUAUGAUACUAGAAUUUUGUAGUCAUCAUGUCUCAAACUUUUCGCACAACACUGUCCAAAAGCACUAGGAGUUGUCUUUUAGAGAAGUUAAUUUUGAGGCCAGAAUAAUUGAAUUUAGUAAAAUGAUGAUAUAUAAUAAACAAAAAUGUCAUUCAUGAUUAGCUUUGCAAAAGUGGAAAAGGGAUAAAGUUGUGGAGAAUGUUAUAAUUCAUAAUCUUGUUCUCUAUUUCACUAAUGAGAAAUGCUACAAUCUUCUUAGGAAAGGAGGCUAGUUAAAUUUACAUUAUGAAUUUUAUUCUAUUAGAUCUUGCAACAUGGUUUUGUUCUAGUAUUGAUCCAUACUCUUUUAUAUGUACUUAUUGAUAAAUUUAUCCUUGGUCAUGUAUUCAACUACUUUAUAGCAUAAAACGUUCUUGAUUGUUUUUCCUUAUGCAUUUGGAAGACACAUCUCUUGUACCACUUUAAUAUAUCUUCUGCUUCUAAAAAAUUAGAUACUUUCUACUUGGGAAAAUAAUUGAGGGGAGCAAAUUUUUUUUAUAAUUAUUAUCUUUCUUUUAUUUUUUUGAAAAUAGAAAAUAUCUAAUUUUGACUUAAGUUGAAAUCUACAGUCAAAUAAAAGUAACUAUAUGACUGGUAGGGUGUGUUUAAUUUUCCAAUCUCCACCACUCAAAUGACUGGUGUGGAAAUUGCAAUGAAAAUGAAUAGAAGAAGAUGUAUGUAUUGACAGUGUAUGAGUUUUAUAUACUGUUAUUGUAUUAUUAUCAUUGAUUUUUUAUUAUUGUUGACUUUUCAAAAAAGGUAAUCCAAAUGAACAGUGAAUGAUGAAGUGCAUGUGUAUAAAUUUUUACAAUUUCAGUGUCAUUUUACACUCAUCUAUAUAUAUAUAUAUAUAUAUAUAUAUAUAUAUAUAUAUGAGGUAAUGGUUGAAGUUAUGUCGAUCAUUGCUAGCCAUGUCUACUUUAACAAAAACCACAUUGCCUACAUCAUUGCUCAUCCCAAGAAGAACCAAACCAAUUAACUCUCCAAAUAACAAAGUUGUGUUCCAUAAAAAUGAUCAUUAUUUGAAUAAGAUAGUGCCUCAAAAGAAGAAAGCUUCUUUUUGUAUCCAAGCACAAGCACAAGAAGGAGAAGCAUCAGUUCCUUCAUCUCCUAUUGAAUCUCCUUCUUUAAGGCCUACGUUUGUGUUGUUUGGUUCUUCCAUUGUUGAGUAUAGUUAUUUUGAAGGUUGGGGAGCUACUCUUGCUCACUUGUAUGCACGCCAGGUAAUUUUUUCCCCAUAAUUAUGGUUUCUUAUGAAAAAGUGAUUGGGAAGUAAAACUCCACCAGAGUCAAAAUCCAACUUAUUUUCCGUUGUUAUGGACUAAAAAAUAUUUGUUAAUUAUUGAUCAAAAGUAACAUUUUACUUGGUAUGAUAUGAUUAUGUAGAUGUUACAUAUUGGGAAGUAAGUGUAUAUAGCAUGUAUUCGACAAGAUGAUUCGAUACAUUUAUGGUUUGUUAAUUCUCUUUUAGCUACCUAUAUUUACAUCACGGUCUAAAGUUAAAAGGACAUGAAAAAUAGCUUAAGUGACAUGGUUUACCUCUGCUGUCUCACUCCUUCGUGUCACUGCAUGUGCUAGGCGAAAUGAUUGGUUAGAAAAAUAUUUAAGAAUAACAGUUUUAACUUAAAUAAUUUUUUCCAAUUAAUUAUAAGUAAUAUUCUUGAAUGUAAAAGGAAUAAGUUAUUUUAUGUAACAUGUAAUAUUCUUUAAUUUAUGUCACUAACCUUUGAAGUGAGAAAUUCUUUAAAGGAAUAUUAAGUAGUUCUCUAUGUUUUCUUCCUUUGAAAUUGGAAUUUAUGUCAAACUUUGUGGUGGUAUUUUUCUUCAGAAUCUUUUAAUGUUAAAGUUUUGAUCUUUUUAUAUGAUUAUUUUUUUAAAAAUUGUAUAUAUAUUAAUUUCUUUUGUUAUUUGAAUAUAUUGUGAUUAAUUGAAAAGAUAAAUGAUAAUUAAUUGAGUGGAAAUAGAAUAUAAAAGAGUCCCAUUAAUGAAGAAUAAUCUUGAAAAAACAAAUAUGAUUGUCCAAAAAUUAUUUAAAGGUGCUAAUAAGCAAAUUCAAUAAGAAUUAAUAUUAACUUUAAUAAGGUGAAGAGAUAAUUAUGUCAAGUAAUUUAUUGUGUAAUAUGAUGGAGAAUGAAUGAGUUACUAAUGACAUUCAAACAUUGACUUGGCAUAGGUGGAUCUAAUUAUGCGUGGAUAUGCUGGAUGGAAUUCGAGGAAUGCUCUACAGAUUCUGGACAGAGUUUUUCCAAAGGUAUAUAAGAAUGGAGAUUAGUUGUCUCGAUCAUGUUUUUAUUUCUAUCCCGAUUAUUCGAAUGUUGACAAUGAAAGAGAGAAAUGUGAAUAUGAGUGAAGAUAUUAAAGUAUGAAACAAAAUUAUAUAUCAUUUUCCAUAUGUUAAUAUUUGAAUAGUCGAAACAUAAAUAGUGAGAGAAUUAUGGGACAACUAAUCAUUGUCAUAUAUAUACUUUUGUUGAUGUGCUUCCCAUGUGCUAGGGUCUUUAUUUUUUUGUCAUACACAUUUGUUUCCAACACUCUCUCACAUAGUUCCAAACAUAUCGGACAUAAUAUUUUUAUAAACGUGGUCGAACAUGUUGUCCCUUACAUCACAUGUAUCCUCAACACUACCCUACAAAUUCAUGUCUAUCCCACAAUUUCAAAGAUAUUAAUCAACCUCACGACAGAAUUAGCAAAUUGAUUAUAUAUGCUACAAAUCUAGGUUUCAAAUCUAUCUUGCACACCAUAUCUUGAACUAGAUCUAACAAUUUAAAUUAUUCUGAUUUUCACAAAAUAAAAUGUACAAUAAUGAAUCUCUUAAUUAACUCAAUUUGUUGAAUGUACAUAAAGUUUAAUUUUUAAAGCUUUCGGAAAUAUGAUUACUUGAUUUUUGAUCAAAUUGACAUAUAAAGACUAAUUAUUUUUGCUCUUUGAUUUUAUUUAACUCAGAAUGCAACUCAACAACCAUCAUUAGUGAUUGUAUAUUUUGGUGGUAAUGAUGCAACUAAUCCACGACCAGGUGGAAAUGGUCCUCAUGUACCUCUCGAAGAAUACAAAGAAAACAUGAAAAAGAUUGUUAUCCAUCUUCAGGUAAACUUUCACAUUAGACUCUAACACUUUUUUAUAUUCCAUUAUCAUGUGAAUUAAAUCACUCAUCUAUGCUUACCAACUUUUCUAAACUUUUUGUAAAUUAUAUUUAUCACACUGCAAAAUUUGACACAAAUUCAAAUGAUUUUCAGAGUC
rnacentral:lncRNA from 1 species